CCUGCAGGCGAGGCUGCUGGUGGUGUUGGUGUUGUUGGCGGUGGUCAGGCCAGGGGAGGCAGCCAGUUUUACCACCCGCGGCCCAGGCUCACACUCGGCCACCACCCCACCUCGAGUAUAUUAUCAGAACAAGUGUUAAGUGCACACCCGGGCCAGAGGUGGUGAAUAUGUAGAAAGUUACAAGUUGUACAGUGCGGGAACUACCUGGUGAUUGUGAACAGGUUAAGAUAGAGAAUUAUUAAUGACUUAAGUGCAUAUGGUGCCAAUGUAUUAAAACUUAUCACCGAGGAAGGGAUGGUGAGGUGGAAGACCGACGAAGGAUUUGAUACACCUCGACUUAACGUGACUCCCACAGGUGUGAAUGAUCACCUGUACACACCUGGAUAAUACUUUUCAACUGUACUUUGAAAGUUUUUAUACUUUCCAAUUGUAACUGAGAUCUGGAAAAGUUUAUGAACUAGAGACUGAAAGUUUUAUGAUCUA